GUUUUCUUUCUCACUAAAGUGUUUCAUGAAUUCUUCUAACCCAUCUAGCAUAUGGUUCUACCUCAGAGGAGUGAAUCUUAGAACACAAGAUUGAUUGGUUGCUUUGGGGGUUCUUUGAUGGCAAAAGUUUCCAACCAAACAAUGCUUGCAAGCGUGUGAAGGGUAUAUAAAUUAGCAAUAAUGUUACUCCUAUACUUUAUUUUCUACACUAAAAUACUCUCCAUCUCCCUUUUAUUGAAAAAUAAACAAAGACAAAUAAGUAGAUUUAUUUUUCUUUUCUUUUUUUUAAUCAAAGGGGGGUGAGGAGUAGAAGUGUAAAAAAUUAAGUAUGAGAAUAAUGUUAUUGUAGAUAUUAAUAUAUUAAUACAAGUGGAAGAAGCUAUGAGCACAAUUUCAACAGCCCAAUAGCACCAUGGUGUGAGCGCACAUAGGUAUUUUUAUUUCUUUUUUAUGAAUGAGAAAUAGGAAGGAUUGUACUAUUGACACCCCCUUUUUCUUCUUUAUUGCAUCCCUUGUGAUUUUUUAAUAAUUUUUUUUUUUCCAAAAAUUUAUGACAAUGAUUGCAUUUUAAGUGUACCAUAACAUUAAUGGUGUCCAAGAAGAUAAAAUGCUGAUUAUAAUGCAGCCACUCUAACUAGUAUCCAAUGAAAUACACAACAUAGCUCCAUGAUUGAAGUUUUCAUAAGCUUUAGUAGUUCCAAUUGUAAGUUCCAAAUCAACAACUCCCCAAAUUUGGGGUUCAUUUGACAAGUACUUAUUAUUAUUACUAGACAAGUACUUAUUUUGACAAUUACUCAGCCGUCAUUAUUAGUUGACUUAUAAUAAGUCAGUUUUAUAUUUGUUAUAGUUAAUUGGGUUCGUUUAGAGAUGGCAAGAGUCAUUCACCCUAUAUAUAAUCAUAUUUGUAAUUUUUGUUUUCAAUUAAUAAAUAGAAUUAUCCACGAAUCUUUCAUUUUACUUAUUUUAUAAUAUAGUACUAGAGCGAUAAUUAUUCUACAACAUUAUUUCUUAAUUUUUUUUAAGAGAAAAUAUUUCAACACCCACUAAGUCAAUGAAACAUUUAAAACUAAAAGAUUUUCAUUUCAGUCAUGAGAAUGUUCAAAUUCAUCAUUGUAAUCAUUUUUGUUUAUGUAUUAGCAAUAUCCUCUAGUUACAAUUCAAUUUCAUAUGCAAUGAUCAUUUUUUGUUAUUUUUCUCAAUUUGCGGACAUGUCAAAGAUUCAACGAAAAAUUAUCAGACACAAAAGAAGGACGAGAUAUGAUCUACAAUGUAAUUAAAAAGCUCAAUAAUAUUUUACGAAACUAGAAUGUGUUUAUUACAUUUCUUUUGUUUAGGGGCACGAAAUGUUAUUGAUGCAGAAGGCCAUCAAAAAGUUCAUCUGGUAUUUGUGGUAGUAUUUGUUUUUCAUAAAUUUUGUGUCUUUACAAGAUUAUAAACAGAGACAAAAAUAGAUCAAAUUCUCUUGUAUAAGUUUAUCACUAAUUUAAGUCGAAUACAUACAAUGCAAAUUUUUAUUUUAUUUUGAAAGGUGAUGAGCAAAAAAGAGGGUUUUUUGUUUAAGGUGUUAUGUCACAAGUAUGAGAGUGUCACUAAGAAUGUAUGUGGUGAUUCUUAUAAGGUUUGAUUUUGUAUAAGGUUAUUUUUUCUGUUAGAGGGGAGUUGAAGGUGUGACAAGAGGUGGUUUCUGGAUAUUAAUAUAAAAGUAUUGGAGAAUGGAGCAGCGAUGUUAUUUUGGGAGGAUCCUUGGGUAGAGGGAGGACUGUUGUAGAUAGAUUUAUGAGACUAUUUAAUAUGACCUUUAAUAAAAAUAUUACAAUGUCGAAUAUGAUUGACAAGGACGGUGGAGGUGGUUUUUAAUUGGGGGUGCCGUAGGGAGUUGUUUGAUUGAAGAAAAGAGUUGGUGGAGGAAUGUAUUUUGUUGUUAGAUGAUAUUAUUUAGCAUGAUAACAUUAUUGACAGGUGGUGGUGUAACUUUGGUCAACGUGGCACUUAUGUAGUAAAGGAUAUGUACAACUUUUUUUAUCAACAUUGACGUUCAAUGAGGUGUAUCCAUCAUAUCCUUAUGUGUGGAAUAAUUGAGUUCACUUGAAGGUGUCAAUGUUCGCGUGGCGUCUGUUUCAACAUCGUUUAUCGAUGAAGGACAACUUUAUUAGAAGCAGAGCGACUUAUAUUGAUUAACAUUUGUGUAUGGUUGAACAUGGAGAAGAGGAAUCUAUAUCCCAAUUAUUUAUGUUUUGUAUAUUGUUCGGAUCGGUUUGGUCAACUAUUUUGAGGUGGGUGAGAUUGAGUUGUGUGUAAUAUAAAGAUGUGGAAGCACACACACUUCAAUUUACCGGUCUUUGUGGUAGACUCGUCUAGAUCUAAGAUUAGAGCUAUUUGAUUGGCUUGUGUGUAGUACAUGUGGAAAUUUUGUAAUUGAGUUAUCUUUAAUCAUGAUAUGUGUAAUGUUUCUUUAAUCUUAAUUGUUAUGAAUAUACGAUUCAUUUCA